AAUUUUAAAAAUUAAAAGAAUACCCACAAUUACAAAUUUACCCCUAACUUAAAAAAUUAAAAAUAUACCCACUCACAAUUCACACACACAGAAGGUGCAAAUUCACAACAACACAUAAGUUACUCCCCAAUCAGUCAAAAUUCAAAUAAUUACUCUCUUUUUUUUUGUACCAAAAUCAAUUCUUUCAACCGCGUCAAUCUCCUUUCUCUCACCGCCUCACCACCGAAAAACGAAGCAUCGUCGCGAGUUGCCGAAGAAGAAAGCGUCGUUGUACGGUCGGAGCAGUCGAAUCAUCGCGCCGCAGAAGAAACCGUGAUGGAAGAAGAAAACGCUGCCGUUCAACAAGAUGCAGCAGACUCAAAUCUUCAAGUUGUGAUCCACUGUGGGGAGACAACAAAAAAUUCUCCAGAGGAAGAACAAGCAAUUAAUCCGAAGAAAAACAACAAAAGACAAGGUAUGCUUAGAUUUAAGUGAAACAUAUUGUUGAGAUACAUCUUGAAUAACAAAUAAAUGAUAGAUAUGUUGUUAAAUUUUGAGGUAGAUGUUAAAAAAGUUAUUGCAUGUUCGAAUAGCAUGAUUCUGUAAGAUGUAAGAUGAUUUUCUAAGACUUUCAUACUUUGUGUGUUUUAGAUCUUGUGAAAUACAGAAAAAAAAAUUUAUUGAUACUAGAAAAUAAUUGUCAAGUUAAAGCGUAGAUAUCUUGUAAAACACUUGAUUAAUUUUUCAGAUUUGUGUGUUUUAGAUAUUUUGAAAUAGAAUGUUUGAAUUUUUCAAAUGAACCGUUGUUCUAGAAUUCACAACCAAUGCAUAGGGUUUGGUUGUGAAUUCAAGUUUUAAAGAUAGAAUUCACAACCAGACUUAGACGUUAGUUGUGAAUUAAAACUCUAGACCUUGAUUUAAAAAUAAAAUUUGAAUUAAAAUCUAAGAAUUCAAAUACAUUAGAUUCAGAAACAAUAGAUAGGGCUUGAUUGUGAAUUAAAGUUUUAAAACUUCAUUUCACAACCAAUACCUUAAUUUAGUUGUCACUGCAAUUCACAAUAUGUUUUGGAUUCAGAAAUAAUAGAUAGAGCUAGAUUGUGAAUUAAAGUUUUAAAACUUUAUUUCACAACCAAUAGCUUAGGUUGGUUGUGACUGCAAUUCACAACCUGUCAUAUUUGAUGGUUGUGAAAUAUAGCUUUUAAAGCUUGAUUGAAAAAAAAAUCGAAUUAAAACCCAAAAAAAAUAAAAAUACUAUGUUUUAGAUUUAGAAGUAAUGGAUAGGUUUUGGUUGUGACUAUAAUUCACAACCUGGCAUAUAUGAUUGUUUUUAAAUAAAGUUUUAAAGCCUAAAAUUAUUGUGAUUGCUUUCUAAAUCAUGGUUUUGGGUGUAAACUAAUAUACUAUACAGUUCAAAUGACUAGUACUCUUUAAUAAGUUUCCAUAUUACUGUUACUAAUAAGUCACAACUCAUCUCUUAUCUUAUACUUGCUUGAUUCAUAUACUUUCAUUACAACUAAAUAUAAUAGUAUUAGUGGUGAAAUUUAUAAAGAUCUCCAACUCAUAAAAUUACUUUAUUUUAGAUGUAUUUUACUAAGAAAUUAUGUUUUGCGAACACAUAAAUUCUACUCCCUCCGUCCCAUUAUUGUCGGUCACAUUCUUUUCGGCACGGAGAUUAAGAAGGAGAUUGUUAUGUGUUAAUUAAAUGUGGUCCACCAAAAUUAAAGAGUUAAUUAAAUCUUUCUUGAACCUAAAUCUGUCUUCUUCUCCAUUUUCCGGCCGACGUCAUUGUCGGCGCCGGCGACAAUCGCCCCAAAUCAGACACCAAUUUCCUCAUACCCCAAUUUCCCCAAAACCAAUCGCCCCAAAUCAGACCCCAAUUUCUGGGACAAAAUUGAAUCCUCAAGCACAAAAAAUACUCCAACGUUUCAUCAAGCAGGAGGCUUUGGUCUUGGGGAAAGCGGCACCCACUGAUGACGAGGGGAUCGAGAUUUUGCAGGUUUAUUCCAAGGAAAUUAGCAAGCGGAUGCUUAAAAUAGUGAAGACCAGAUCUAGAGAGUUAGCGGCCGCUCCGGGGACUGCUAUGGUGAUUUACGAGCUGCCAUUCGCCGAAAAUUGAAGGGGAAAAGAGGGCGGCGGCGCCGGAGCUCAGAGAGAGGCGGCGGCCAUGGGGGUCGCGGCGGAGGGAGGUGCGAAACCCUCGAUUUUUCCCAUGGAUUCGCGGCAGAGCUGUCGGCGAGUGAAAUCGAGAAGCUGAAGAGUUUGCCCGAGAUUGCAGACGAGAGGACGGGGCGGGGCGGCGGCCGUCCGCCCGAGAAGAAGAGAUAAGGGGGAGAGGCUUUUUUGGGGGAGGCGCUGAGUGUGGGUGUGUUUGUGUGUGAUUUGUGUUUGUUGGAGAGAGAUCUGAGCUGAGCAAGGGCGGUCGAGAAGGGAAGAGGGAGGAGAAGCGGAGGGACGACGGCCGGCGGCCGGCGUCGCUGUCGGCCGCCGGAGAAGAAGAGAGAAAUGAGAGGUUUUGUGUGUUGUGCGUGUGUUGUGUGUGUGUGUGUUUUUAUUUUAAAGAGGGUUUAGGCUUAAGUAGAAAUUUUAAUUAAAUGGGCUUAAUUAAAUUAAAUGUUUCCAUUUUAAGAAAGUGGCCAACAAUAAUGGGACAGACCAAAAAGGAAAUGUGGCCAACUUUAAUAGGACGGAGGGAGUAUUAUGUUUUACAGAUUCAAUGGGUUCGGAAAUGAGAGAUGUAAAGUGCAGAAUUAACUUCCACUGCAGAGAAUCAAUACUGAAGAUUAUUCAAAAAGUGUUGAAAAGCAAAGGAAAAGAAGCUGUGACCACCAUCAAGAAAAGCUGCGUGGGGCAUUUUCUGAAUCUCCCAGAUACAAUAAACAAAUGUGGAAGUGCAGUCCACUAUGUUAUCUCAAGAGAGAUCAUAGUUGGAGAAAAAAUAGACGAACUAAGUUUCUGCAUUAACGACAAAAGACUGCGGUUUACAAGGUUUGAAUAUGCCUUAAUAACAUGGCUCAGGUUUUGAGAAUUAAACUUCAACAAGGAAGGAGGCGCCAUUAUAAAGGGAGAUUCGCUUUUCACAAAAAGGUUUGAUAAUAUCAAAAUGACUGUUAAACGGCUGAAGGAUCUAUUUGAGCAAGGAAAGAUAACAAAAAAUACAUCAGAUUACAUAAAGGUGGCGAAGAUUCUAUUGGCCUACUACUUUGUUUUGGCAUGGAGCCGAAGAAAAUAAUAAUAGAGCAAUGGAUGUGGGCUAUGGUUGAAAGAGAUGAAGAUUGGGAAAAUUUCCCUUGGGGAAGCUAUAAUUAUCAACACUUACUGUACUACAUCAUCAAAGGGAUCAAGACGACACCAUCACGAAGGGCUGUAGAUGGAAAAGAUAAGGUUGAAGAUAUAUGUCUUUGGAUGCUCCACUGCAUUCUUGGUAAAAUUCUAAACAAUUACUGAAUUAUGUACUAUUUAUAAUAUGAUGAUUACAAUUCUAAUUCUGUAUUUUUACUAUACAGGCAUGGAUAUACUGUGCAAUAUCAGAGUUAGGGAAAACCUAUGGUCAUGUCAGAAGUAAAACUGCACGUCCAAGGAUAUUCAGAUUCAACUACUACAAAACGAACAUUGUGGUGACGGAGAUUGCAGGAAUGGUAAGUAAUAUUUGAUUCAUUAAUGUGUUUAAUAUGAUUCCUUGAGAAGUAUUAUGAUUUACUGUCAUAAUAAAUCAUAAAUCGUUCAAAUAUUAGAAAAAAAAUAAGUAAACUGUCCUACAAUUCACAACUAGAAUCAAUAUUGGUUGUGAAUUCAUGAUUCACAACCAACAUUCCUGUUGGUUGUGAAUUCAUGAUUGAAACAUCGAAUUCACAACCAACACUCCUGGUGGUUGUGAAUUGAUGCUUGAAAGAUAAAAUUCACAACAAACACUCUGCUGGUUGUAAAUUAAAAAUUAAAACAAGGAAUUCACAACCAAUACUUAUGGUGCUUGUCAGAAAAGUUCACAUUAAAGUUCAAAUAUAAUACAUUGCUUUUGUAAGAAAAUACUAUGUAUUAACUACAUACUAUGUACUGCAUUUGCAUGAAAGAAUGAUUCCAGAUUCUGAAGAAAGUGAAACAUAAUAUUGGCUCUCCAUAGAGCCUGAGGAUAAGCCACUGUCACUGAAUUAUGCAAAAGACAAAUACAAUGUGGUCCAAAUCGAAGAGGUCAAUAGUCAGCUGACAUAAAAGUCGGUGAAGUUCUACACACCAAAAUUGGCACCAGCUGAAAAUGAAGAAGAGGAAGAGGAAAAUGAAGAACAGCAUGAAACACAAGAGGAGCAAAUCGAAAAGAAACAUAAGUUGAUAAAGACAGUGACACAGAAACAGAACAGGCCACACAAACAGAAAAAAGUCAAGGCAACAGAGGCAAGAAGGUUGAAAAAAUAGAACAGAAGCAAGAAUUGAAUUAGAGACUGUAAUACCCGGGCUUUUGAUGACGUGUUUAAUUGCUUGAGUUUGAGUAAUUAGGGUUUAGAUCCCUUGUUAGAAUUUACUUUACAUUGUAAAGAGAUGAUGAGUUAUGUGAAGUUUCUUGUUAUUUUUUUUAAAGACGUUGAGAUGUUCUUUUAAUGAUGUGAGGAUGAUGUGGAAUUUUAUAUCCGUAAUUGAGUUUGAGUAUUUGAAUAAUUCGAGAUAAUUAUUUGAAUGAGAACGGUGAACUCGGAGGUGAGAUCUGAGUCCGUUAAGACGUUUUUGAAGUUUUUGACUUUUUGAAGAUGAAUAGUAAAAUACUGCUAUUUCGUCUUUUUGUCGACUUUCAAAAUCUUACGUGCACGUCGUCGAGAAAUAUUCUUAGUUUUUCAAUACGAGUCCAAUAAUGAAAGUUUUUAUUUUUGGACGACGAGUGAAUAGUAAAUCGGGAUUUCUCGAUAAACGAACCGAGCUCGUUUAUCAGAUUUUCGAGAACGGGCUUACGUUUUCUAUAUUUAUAUAGAAUUACGAGUGUAAUGAAAGUGAGUAGAGGUUGAGAGGGCGAGUAACGAAGAGUACGGGUAGUUAGUCGUUAAAACGAGACGAGACAAGACGAGAUAUUUAACGGCUAAAUAUCUAGACCUACCCUACCCUUGACCACCCCCCAACCGCCCAAGCCCCCCUUUUCUUUAAAGUGUCGGCUGUUAGCAGCCAACACCCCUCACUUUUCAUUUUAAAAUAUCUCACACACACUAAACACACACACAUCUCACGCACAUGCUCCAUUAAAGCUUGGAGUUGGAGCUUUCGAGCUCCGUUUUGAGCGAGGAGACGAGCCCCGAUCAUCUUUCCUAUCACACAUCUAGGUAAGAGUCAUCUCUACCUACGCUUUGAUGGUUAGAUUUUCAAGAUUAGUCGACGUCGAAAAACGUCGAACUCUCGACUUUAUUUUGAAACGAUGUCGGAUCGUUGUGAGUUUUUAGUAUGUUGUUCUUGGGUAAUUGUUGAACAUGUUUAAUGAAAGAGUUAAGGAUGGUUCGAACCCUAGCUAUGAAACCCAUGAGGGCAGCCCGUCUAUGUUCGUCGUCAUAGCUCGUCCUUCGAUUUUUAUUUAAUCGUUGUGACUUGAUAUAUGUGCUUAGGAGCAUGCUAGGUUUGUUGUAUGUUAAAUUUGUAUUUUUCCAAGCAUGAUAGUCGUGAGUUAUGAGCGUUGCAUGAAGAAUGUUUGUAUGUUGUUGUGUUCUAAGAUGGAAGUUGAGCAUGAAAGAUUAAGUUUGAAGUUUUGAGGAAUGUUAGAUAGAGAGAAGCAUGAGAACUGUAUGGUUGAUGAGCAUGUUAGAUUUAUUUUGAAGUCUGGAGAAAUGGUAGGAAAUAUGUAGGAUGUUUGCAUGAGUUUGCAGAGCAUGCGUGAGUUUGAACUUGGCGAGUUAGCUCUGGCUGUUGAGUUCAGCUCUGGCUGUUGAGUCAGCUCUGGCUGCCAAAGUCAACUUUGGCGAGUUAGCUCUGGCUGUUGAGUUCAGCUCUGUCUGUUGAGUUAGCUCUGGCAAGUCAGCUCUGGCUGCCAAAGUCAGCUCUGGCGAGUUAGCUCUGGCUGAUUGAGUCAGCUCUGGCAAGUCAGCUCUGGCUGCCAAAGUCAGCUCUGGCGAGUCAGCUCUGGCAAGUCAGCUCUGGUUGCCAAAUGGCAGACAUAACACCAACCCGCCAGAGGUUGUUCACCUGCUUGCUCAUAGCCCAAAUGAUGAAGCUCCCAAUCUCCUGGAUCGACGAACCAUCCACCCUGAACCAAGUGAAGAGGGAACCCAAAACCUGUCUAGCAACAUCACACUCCCAAAACAGAUGACUAAUAUCCUCUCUCGCAUUCCAACAAAGAGGACACCAACCCGGACUGAUGUAACCAAAGCGACUCAUAGAACUGGCCGUUGGGAGCCUGCCCAGAAUAACCCGCCAAGUCACAAUAGACUGGCGCACCGGAAUAAACGGUGCCCAAAUCCACUUGCCCCAAUCCACAUCCGGGUAACUAGGACGAACAUGAUCCAUAGCAAGCGCAGAUUAAGCCUAUUGCAAUGAAAACACUCCUGCUAGCAUCAACUGGACAAAUCACGUCAUGAAACUGCAGCAACAAAAGUGCUCUUGUGCAAUAAUUUUACUAACUGCCUUCACUGACCUACCAAAUUUAAAGAUUUCAAGAUUCAAAGCAAGCUAUCUCAAAGCCAACAACAUCAAAUGCUCCUACAACAGAAAAUGGGCAACCAAAGAUCCAAAACUGCAUCAGUUCAAUAUGCAGUCAAAUGUGGAAACAGAGAACAUAUAGUAUAAAGGUCAAGAAUUUGAUUUGGUCCAUGUCCUAUAUAACUCAAAACUUUUAUAAACAUAGACCUCUAUUGCAAAAUACUAUAUCACAAUAUAACAAAAACUAACAAACAAAUCAAUUGUUCACAGCAGAACCACAUAAUUCAAGUCACACAACACGCCCACAUAUUGUUCUAAAAGAACUGGGGGGGGGAAAACAGAGCUGCAGAACCGCAAGAUUACCUCUAUUGCAAAAUACUAUAUCACAAUAUAACAAAAACUAACAAACAAAUCAAUUGUUCAUAUAAUCGUCUAUGUUAUCGAUACAAACGAUGACGAAUCAAUUACCUUCCCCACGAUCAAGAGCCAACAAUCCUUGUUGGUGCUGUACUCAAAGACCUCAGCCAAAGUAAAAACCUUAGACAUUGGAAUCAAUUCGAAGAAAAUCAGAACUCAAAAGCAUAAAAAAAAUCAAUGUAAAAGAAACAUAGCAAAAGAAGAAGAAGUUUACCUUGCGUCAGAUGCAGCGUUUAUAAUUUUUACUAAUGAAUUUAUAGAUAAAAAUCUAGGUUUUAAGUUUCCAUUGUUAAAAUUAUUUCUAAAAUUUGUUCUUUCUAAAAUUCACAAUCAUUCUAUAUUUACCAGCAAUCGAAUCAUUCUAUAAUUUGGUGUAUCAACAAUCGAAAAUUAGACAGCAUAUGAUUAAUUAUUUUUAUUAAAUCGGUGGACUAAAAAAAUCAGAAAAAAAAAAACUUACCAUGGUCGUGGUCUUGAGCCACUGCGGCCGUCAGGUUCUGUAGAUAGGGGAGAAGGGAGAAGGAGAACCGAGGGUUCAGAUGGCGGUGGCGGUCUUCGUCUUUGCUCGCCGGGAACUGGAGGAAGGGAGGAGUGGGCGUAUGGAGAGCGUUGGAGAAGGUGGUAGGGGCAAAUGGCGGUGGAGGGGAAAGGGGAGCGGCAAAUCGCGGUGGAAGAUGGCAGAUCGCGGCUGCGGCCGGUGGGGUGAAUCGCCGGAGGGGGAGGGGGGAGGAUGAAGGUGGCAUCGGAGAAGGUGGAAGAGGCAGAUCUCUGGCAGCGACUUGGUGAGGGGGCAGACGGCGGUGGAGGGGAAAGGGGACCGGUGGGACAAAUCGUCGGUUGAGGGUGAAAUGGAUAUCUGGUGGAGAGGAGAAGGUCGCCGGUUGGAAAUCUGGUGGAGGAAUUGAUGAAUGCGAGGGUGAAUUGGUGUGUGAAGGGAAAUU
rnacentral:lncRNA from 1 species